GCGAAAGUGGCGGAACUGGUAGACGCACUGGAUUUAGGUUCCAGCGCCGCAAGGCGUGCGGGUUCGAGUCCCGCCUUUCGCACCA
rnacentral:tRNA from 3 species